rnacentral:misc_RNA from 1 species
GUGAAUCAUCGAAUCUUUGAACGCAAAUUGCACUCCCUGGUAUUCCGGGGAGUAUGCCUGUUUGAGGGUCGUUAGACUAAAAAAUCGAGGCGUCGCUCUUUUUUUUAAGGGUGAUCGCGUCGGCCUUGAGUAGUCCUUCAAUGUUACUUCAUGUCUAAGUGGCUUAAAAUUUAAUCAAUCCGGUAUGAUUAUAGCGUAUUCAAGAUCAAUCUUGACUCUGUAUG